GCAAUAUAGAUUAUAUUAGGAUAAAUUAUGUUGAGAUUAAUUAUGUUGGGAUUGUUGUUUAUUCGUUGUUUGGUAUAUAUUAUUAAGAAUAACAAUUGCAAAAUUUUUAAGAAGAAGGUAUAAGUUAUACCCGUGCUAAUUACCCCACCUUUUAUAAGGUAUAAGUUAUACCAGUGUUAAAAUUAGCAUCGAUAUAACUUAUACCUGAUUUGCUAACCAAACAGAGUAUUAUACCAUUCUUAUACCUUAUACCAAACAACUUCUUAAAAUGCGAUUUUUUUUUUUAAAUUCUACUUGAAUACAAAAUACUUUAUGCACUAAACUGUCGUUUUCAGAACCUCUUGCAGUAACAAAUUGGGCCUCAUUGCAGCAAAUGGGCCUUUCUAGAAAAUAUUGAUUAGAAAGAAUUUUAGGCCGCUAGUCCUGCCAAAGAACGAAUAAGUUAUUUAGAAGCAUGUAAGUAGUGUUGUAAUGAUGGUUUGAGAUGAUAAAAGAUGUAGUAAUAAGUAGUACUCCUAAUAACUUCAUUGGUGAGAGUAAGUUUGAUAAGUUGUUUCCUUUCAAUAAAGUAUUCUCCAAGAUUUUUAAUUAUACAUCAAAUGGUGUAAAAAAAAUAUUUACACAACUGAAUUAUAAUAUAAUCACGUAUAAAUCUCUAUUAUAAAUUAUUUAUCAGUAACCAACUGGUGAAGAACAUGAUAAAAAGAGUAGCCUGGUCAAUCAAUAUCCUUUCGCCGUAAAAUUACAUUGUACACUGCUAGAUAAAUUUUUAUGUUUUAUGUAUAUUUACUAUACGUUGACUCCAAUAAAUUUUUUGGUGUAUCCAUUUUUUAUAUUUGACACUUCUUAAUGAAAAUUCUGGCUCCAUCAAUACUGGUUGUCCACAUCACACCCCUACGAGUGGUUAAAAUAGUACAUGCUAGCCAGUUUUCGGACUGGUCAUUCAAAAAUAACCAGUAUUUACAAAAUCAUUGAAAAAUAGCCAUUAUUUUGCUGCAAUAGGGACCGGUCCAGCAUAAUAUACUGGAGAUUGGUGAACAUAUGUAUUAACUUAUAGCAUAUUAUGCCGGAACUACUCCAACACGCGAAAAGUUUCAAUAUAAUAUAUUAGAGAUUGGAGCACACGUGUAUGAACUUCCGGCAUAUUAUAUUAUACCAGUAUAUUAUAUUGGAACUCCAGUAUAUUAUGCUGCAGUUCCAGUAUACUUAUGCUAGAUCUCCAUUAUAAUAUACUGGGGUUCCAGUAUACUUAUGUUGGAACUCCAUUAUAAUAUAUUGGAGUUCCAGUAUACUUAUGCUGGCACUCCGGUAUAUUAUGCUGGAGUAUUUUCUGGAUUUUGAACAAUGUUUUCGUUCAGAUUUAUCUUUACAUGAAAAGUGGCUAAAUUUUGAUUACUUUUGAAACUGUGGUUAUUUUUGAAUGACCACUUAUAAAUCUGACUCUUUUUGAAUUUCUCGUGUGAUCUUUCAUGAACCCUGUAUGAACACAAAAUGCCUUAUACAUCGGACUGUCCCAUUUUGGUAUAUAUAAGUUGAACCAUAUCAAAUAUAUGUGCAUACAUAUCCUCCUUUUCAAUCUUUUUCUCAAGUUUAUAGGGAAGUGGCUCUUGAAUAUUUGAAGUCAUCAACAAAAAUGGUGAGGCAACUAGUGGAGAUACUAUUUGGAAACCUUGGAGCAACGCUAGAUCAUACAAAAUUUGAAUCAUUAACAGGACUUAAAAUGGUUAAUUAUAUGAGCAGAAGUUAUUUUCUUUACAACAAUCUUGACUUUUUUAACUUCAUAUUAUUUGUUCUAACGCUUAGACAUUAGUAUUAAUCUUUAGUACUCAAAUUCAAGAGUCGUCAAAAUGCUAUAUAAUCGGCUAAUAUAAUGGUUAAUUUUUAAUAAAUAUUUUUCUGUAAAAUGUUUUUCGCUCGCCACCCAAUAUUGGGAAAUAUUUCAUAAAGAAUGAUUUAUGCCAUACCAAACACACUCUAUGUGUUUGUUCUACUAUCCUCAAAAAUUUAAAUUAUUUCUUGUGUAGGAUAAAAUUAAUCAUGCUUCGAGAAACAAUUAUGAAAUGUACACUGGAUUAAACGUGAUCAAAGCAAAUAACCCUAAUAUUUAUUACAUUUUAAAAUCUUUUUCCCAAUUAUUUAUUUUAUUUAUUUUGUCUUUGGAUUUAGAUCUUAAGCAAUGGUAGAUACAAAAGUGCUGAACAUAGAGUUCGUACAAGUUCAGAAUCAAGAGUUUCAGUUCCAUUAUUUACUAUAUUUUUAUUUAUAGUUAAUGAGCUUUUUGACUUCUAAAAUGCAAAUUGUCAAUAAGUUGCCUAUUUCUUUUGAAUAACAAACAAAAGAAGUCAUCAUUUGUGCUCCUUUAUCGCUUCAACAGAAAAUAUUUUAUUUUCGAUAUUUUGGGGUGGUAAAUGGGCGAGGUAAGUUAAAUUUGGGCGGGUCAUGAUAAGUUAGGUCAAUAAAGUAAAUAUAAUGCGAGGAACCCAUUAAAUAGGGUGGUCUUUAUUUUUAUCCACUAAUUCUAAUGUUCAACAAAAAUAGCCACUACCCUAUUAAAAUUAUUUUGAAAAGAUAGUUUUACACUCUUCAAUUCUUAUAUUCACAAAUCCUUAUUUUAUUCAUUCAGAGAAAAAAUCUGAGAGUAAAAAUUUCAAAGGCAAGUUUCGUGUGCUCCUCAGUGUCUGUGUCGUCCUCGCAUGCACACCAGCUGCACUUAAUCUUUCUCCUUCGUCAUCUUCUCUACAUCGAACGAUCGAACUGGUAUUUGUUUUUUGCUUUUAUGCAUUUUUAUUUUUGUAUAUGUGUACUCGUGAUCAUCAUUGUAUCAAGUAUGUGUGAAAUUUCAAAAAUAUAGAUUAUAAGUUGAUUCAGUGUCAAAUAAGUAGCAGAUUUUUGUGAGGAAGUUAUUCAGAAAUUUUUUAUAUUGAAAUGUGUUUGUGGUUCAAUCAAUAUAUUUGAUUAUGUAAGGAUAUUUCAUAAAAAUAGUCGUAAGAAUUCAUAAGCUAAAUGUGUUUAUGAAUUUUUAGUUAAUUGUGUUCAUAAAGUUAAGGACCAAGUGUCAUUAACUUUUGAACUUGGAACUCAAAGUUAAGGACUGAGUGUUCAGGACCAAGUAUACUUAACUUUGGAACUUGAAACUUGAAGUUCAUCACCAAGUGUCUUUAACUUUUCAACUUGUAAUUAUAGGUUAAGGACAUCAUGUUCUUAACUUUUUAACUUGUAACUCUCAGUUAAGGACCAAGUGUCCUUAACUUUUGAACUUGUAAAUCAAAGUUAAGAACCAAAUGUCUUUUACUUUUGAACUUGAAACCUGAAGUACAUGACCAAAUGUCUUUAACUUUUUAACUUGAAACUUGAAGUUAAGGAAAGUGUCCUUAACUUUUGAACUUGAAAUUUGAAGUUCAGGACCUAUUGUAUGUAACUUUUCAAUUUGAAACUUUAAGUUAAGUGUCACAUCACUUUUUUACAAACUCACUAACCCUCUUAAAAUAAUAAAAAAAUUUGUAAAGCUCAAAAGGUUUUUCUAAUUAGAACAUGACAAAAAGUUAUGUUCAAAAGGAUUAACUCAGAAUCACCACUUGACAUCGGUUUUGGUAUGUCAGGUCACCGUUUCUAAAAAUAAUUUUCCUUUUAAAACACUUUGGACUCCAAACUAAGUUUGCACCAGAGAUUCGGGUAUGGAGGUUCAUUUGACUCGGGAAGAAGGUGCUAAGCGCUCCCCAAGUCCCGUAACCAGUACGUUUGCUUACUCAAUCUAGUUGGCUUUUAAGAUAUUCAAAUUGAGGUAAAAACACACAAAAAAAAAAAUUCAAAAGAGGCUCGAGGUCGUUUCCACUUAAUAAAAUAAAAAUAAAUUUAAAACAAGAAUAAAAGUACUAUGAGUUCGCUUUCGGCCUCUAAUUACAUAAUACUUCAUGGCAUUCCCCGAAAUAAAAUAUAUACAAAUCCUUCGAGGCAUUUCCCGGAUAAAUUUAACUAAAAAAACGACCUCUCACCUCAAAACUAACAAAAAUCCUAAAGCUUGCCUACCUAAGUGUAGUCGGUCUAAACACGGCACUAGCAAGCCCGAAUGAAUCAAGAUAAAACAAUAAGAUUAUUGCCCGAACCUCUUAGUUCAUCUCAAGCCCAAAUCCGAUUAUCAACCUCAUCCCUUACAGCACACACACUAGUGAAUUUAACCCAAUCACUCGAACCAGUGGAAUAAAAUAAAGCUACAGAAGUAGCAGAAAUAUUCUUAAGCCCGAAUCUCUUUCUUGUUUCAAAAUAGAGUCCAUUUUAAUUUCAAUUUUUAUAACCAAACCCCAACAACUAUAAAUUAAUGUAACUCUUAUGUUCUUAAUUAAAAGUGUAAUAACUAUUCUGUUAAGAACAUAUUAACAUACAAAUUAUAGUAUAAGCCACAAGACCAUUUCGUAAAGUAGAUCAAACAGUAGCAAAGCUAGAAAAUAAAAUGCAAGAAAAAAGAAAGAGUUGGACCUUUAAUGAUAAGUUUCUCCAGGAAAUUGAGCUGAAUCUACACUUUAAGUAGCCUUUUCCAUUUAUAGAACUCUAGCGUAGAGUAAAGCCGACAAAAUUUGAACGGCAAACAACAAAAUAGCUUGGACGUCUUUGAUCGGACACUCGGACGGCAACCUCGUUGUACCUUUUCGACUUAAACCCGGGAAUCUCCGAGUGAAACAGUGGCUAGCAAAAAUGGGUACUUGGGCCUUAUAACUUACAUCGAAUGGGGUUGUUGGGUUUGGUUUUAACUGAAUUUGAGCGUGAGUUUGGAGCUAAUUUUGUGGGAUUUCCGCGCAGGAUUUUGGGAUGGAAUGGAGAUGUUUUAGAGGGAAGUUUCGUGGUGGAAAUAAGAGGAGGGUGAGGGAGAUCGCUGUGAAGGGAGGGGUUGAUGGAGUCGUUGGUGGCGUUGGAGGGUGAGGGAGAUCGCUGUUGCGCUGCCUUUUUCAAAGGAUUUUCGGUGAUCUUUAGAUGGAGAAAAAGGGUGGGGCGCCGAUCUGCUGCUUCCCUUGUCCUUCGGGCCUUUUUAAUUAUUUUUUUUAUAAAAUGUUUUU
rnacentral:lncRNA from 1 species